rnacentral:rRNA from 1 species
GCCUAUCAGAGGGGAAUAACAGUGAGAAAUCAUUGCUAAUACCGCAUAUACCAUAAAUAUCACAUGAUGAAAGUGGGAAAGGAGUAAUCCGCUGAUAGAUGGGCUCGCGUCUGAUUAGAUAGUUGGUGGGGUAACGGCCUACCAAGUCGACGAUCAGUAGCCGGACUGAGAGGUUGAACGGCCACAUUGGGACUGAGAUACGGCCCAGACUCCUACGGGAGGCAGCAGUCGGGAAUAUUGCGCAAUGGAGGAAACUCUGACGCAGUGACGCCGCGUAUAGGAAGAAGGUUUUCGGAUUGUAAACUAUUGUCGUUAGGGAAGAUACAAGACAGUACCUAAGGAGGAAGCUCCGGCUAACUACGUGCCAGCAGCCGCGGUAAUACGUAGGGAGCAAGCGUUAUCCGGAUUUAUUGGGUGUAAAGGGUGCGUAGACGGGAAAGCAAGUUAGUUGUGAAAUCCCUCGGCUUAACUGAGGGACUGCAACUAAAACUACUUUUCUUGAGUGUUGGAGAGGAAAGUGGAAUUCCUAGUGUAGCGGUGAAAUGCGUAGAUAUUAGGAGGAACACCGGUGGCGAAGGCGACUUUCUGGACAAUAACUGACGUUGAGGCACGAAAGUGUGGGGAGCAAACAGGAUUAGAUACUCUGGUAGUCCACGCCGUAAACGAUGGAUACUAGGUGUAGGGAACAUUAAGUUUUCUGUGCCGUCGCAAACGCAAUAAGUAUCCCACCUGGGGAGUACGGCCGCAAGGUUGCAACUCAAAUGAAUUGACGG